AUGUGCUUGUAUCAGCGAGCGCACACCACAUAUUUCUUGGUGUUGGGGCAGCUGGAGAAAUCAAGUAGCCUAUCACUCAUCAGAAAGAAAUCAUGUGGAAAGACAGGGAAUGUGGAGGUAACAACUGGGCUAGUGGAUUGUACACAUCUCUUUAUUGACAAUCUUCCGGCCACCUUCCACCACUCUACCUCGUGUAAUGAUGAUUGGUUGUUCGCUGAUGCUGACCGGAGCCGAAAUACAAUUGCUAUUUGCCUUUGCUUCAUUUCUCUUGGGCCCUCUGCACUCCUUAUUCAGACGUACUGUUUCUCCAUUAACCGAAUUCGGGUGGCGACUGUUCAUAUGAAAGGUAAGAUUCCUGCCGCACAAUUUUCUCACCUAUGUUUAUCAUCUUUAUGCCGACGCAUAUCAUACAUACACCGUGUUGACACAUCAGUGACAGUUCACAUCAGCGCCAACUAG
rnacentral:rRNA from 1 species